rnacentral:rRNA from 1 species
GGCCACCGGCUUGCGGUUGCCUCUCGGUUAUACCCUUGUCCGGUGGUCCUCCUCGCGGGGACGCCGUGGGCCUUUGCUGGUUUGCGGAUGUGAACCGUGACGUUUACUUUGAAAAAAUUAGAGUGCUUAAAGCAGGCUCGCGCUUGAAUACAUUAGCAUGGAAUAACGAAAUAGGACGAUCGAACCUAUUUUGUUGGUUUCUAGGAUCGACGUA